GAUGAACGCUAGCUACAGGCUUAACACAUGCAAGUCGAGGGGUAACGAGAGGGAAGCUUGCUUUCCUUGUCGACGACCGGCGCACGGGUGAGUAACGCGUAUCCAACCUGCCCCCAACUAGGGAAUAACCUUGCGAAAGUAAGACUAAUACCCUAUAAUUUCCUCAGAUGUCAUCUGACGAGGAAUAAAGAUUUAUCGGUUGUGGAUGGGGAUGCGUCUGAUUAGCUUGUUGGCGAGGUAACGGCCAACCAAGGCAACGAUCAGUAGGGGUUUGGGGAGGUAGGGCCCCCACAUUGGAACUGAGACACGGUCCAAACGCCUACGAGAGACAGCAGUGAGGAAUAUUGGUCAAUGGGCGGAAGCCUGAACCAGCCAAGUAGCGUGCAGGAUGACGGCCCUAUGGGUUGUAAACUGCUUUUAUACAGGAAUAAAGUUAGCCACGUGUGGUUAUUUGUAGGUACUGUAUGAAUAAGGACCGGCUAAUUCCGUGCCAGCCGCCGCGGUAA
rnacentral:rRNA from 1 species